rnacentral:rRNA from 1 species
AUUGAACGCUGGCGGCAGGCUUAACACAUGCAAGUCGAGCGGGGUGAUGGUGCUUGCACUAUCACUUAGCGGCGGACGGGUGAGUAAUGCUUAGGAAUCCGCCUAUUAGUGGGGGACAACAUCUCGAAAGGGAUGCUAAUACCGCAUACGUCCUACGGGAGAAAGCAGGGGAUCACUUGUGACCUUGCGCUAAUAGAUGAGCCUAAGUCGGAUUAGCUAGUUGGUGGGGUAAAGGCCUACCAAGGCGACGAUCUGUAGCGGGUCUGAGAGGAUGAUCAGCCACACUGGGACUGAGACACGGCCCAGACUCCUACGGGAGGCAGCAGUGGGGAAUAUUGGACAAUGGGGGGAACCCUGAUCCAGCCAUGCCGCGUGUGUGAAGAAGGCCUUAUGGUUGUAAAGCACUUUAAGCGAGGAGGAGGCUCUUUUGGUUAAUACCCAAGAUGAGUGGACGUUACUCGCAGAAUAAGCACCGGCUAACUCUGUGCCAGCCGCCGCAGUAA